AUCAACUCCCCCGAACUUAGUCUUUGCUUGCCCUCAAGCAAACAAGAAGACAUAAGCGGAAAGAGAGGUUUGAAGUUGGGGAUUCAGAACCAAAGCAUGAGAUAUGACAAUUAAGAUCAAUGUACCAGUUAACAGUUCUAAGAUGCAGGUGAUCGACUUCUACUCAAAAACUUUAGCCAUGCUCUGUUAUGAUCCAAACCUACACUCAAAUGCACAAUGCGUCAAGAUCAACCAAUCCCUUUAACAUUCUCAAAAACAUGAAUCAAGAUAUGCAUCGCUAGUGAACUCAUUUGGCUAAUGACAGGUUAUGAGACAAAGAUGGUCCCUUUUUAGUGCUUCAGAUUUUAAUAGCAGGGGACUCUCAAUGAAAAAGGACUGAGCUUUAGAGAAUGCUAAAGGUAAGUGCCAACCUAUGCAUACAAGAAUAGCACCUCAUCUACCUAAUGACAUAAACCGUGAAUAACAAGUAGAUGGUCCUAUCUCUAAACCCAAUGAUGAUCCUAAGUCUACCCUUUUGCACUAAAGGCAUAUUUUGAUUUUUUCUUGGAUCAAUGUUUCCUUUUCUUUUCUUUGGCUCUUGUUCUUAAGGAGAAGCUUUUCUUAAACUCUAUGAGUAUAGUCUAGUGAAUUGGGU
rnacentral:sRNA from 1 species